rnacentral:lncRNA from 1 species
AAUUAAUAGUUUUCCUGUUAGAUUUGUAUAGUCUGUUUCAAGUUGUUUAGAUUUGUAUUUCUCUAUGAUAAAAAUAUUGAAAAAAUAUGUUUCUUUCAGUGUGCUGUAUCAUCUUUGGAGAAAUGCCUAUUUAUUUAGAUAUUUAGAUGUGUUAUUCAGGUUCUCAUAUCAGAAAAUGGCCACAGCAAGCAGUAACUGGCAUCCCAGUAUCACCAUCAUUCAGAUGCUUAAGCUGCCAUACACAUUGAGGUGGGAGAGAGAAAUGAGUCAGCAGCCCGGAUGGAGAUCUCCAAGAGUCUGUAUGUGCUAA